rnacentral:misc_RNA from 1 species
AACGGUCUAUACCUGCGGUACCUGCGGAGGGAUCAUUGCAGAAAACACACAAGCCCUUGGGCUGGGCCGGGGGGUGCCAGUUGCACUUGCACUCUCUUUCCCUGUCCUUGGGCAAAAAACACAAACAACAUACAUGACUAGGAAACUGGAUUGGGGGGGGUUGUUAGCAAAAGUACUUGCCUGAUAAGCAGUAGCCUAUGAUUUGGGUUUGGAGAAAGACAAUACAACUUUCAACAAUGG